CCCUUAGACGUUCUGGGCCGCACGCGCGCUACACUGACCAGUGCAACAAGCAUCCGUCCUUGGCCGACAGGCCCGGGCAAUCUUUGAACGCUGGUCGUGAUGGGGAUAGACUUUUGCAAUUUUUGGUCUUCAACGAGGAAUUCCUAGUAAACGCAAGUCAUCAACUUGCAUUGAUUACGCCCCUGCCCUUUGUACACACCGCCCGUCGCUACUACCGAUUGAACGUUUUAGUGAGGUACUCGGACUGAGCCUCAGAAGAUUCACGUCUUUUGUGCUGCUCGGGAAGAUUCCCAAACUUGAGCGUUUAGAGGAAGUAAAAGUCGUAACA
rnacentral:rRNA from 1 species